UGGACCCGUGAUCCGGGUUGCGGACAGUGUCUGGUGGGUAGUUUGACUGGGGCGGUCUCCUCCUAAAGAGUAACGGAGGAGCACGAAGGUUGGCUAAUCCUGGUCGGACAUCAGGAGGUUAGUGCAAUGGCAUAAGCCAGCUUGACUGCGAGCGUGACGGCGCGAGCAGGUGCGAAAGCAGGUCAUAGUGAUCCGGUGGUUCUGAAUGGAAGGGCCAUCGCUCAACGGAUAAAAGGUACUCCGGGGAUAACAGGCUGAUACCGCCCAAGAGUUCAUAUCGACGGCGGUGUUUGGCACCUCGAUGUCGGCUCAUCACAUCCUGGGGCUGAAGUAGGUCCCAAGGGUAUGGCUGUUCGCCAUUUAAAGUGGUACGCGAGCUGGGUUUAGAACGUCGUGAGACAGUUCGGUCCCUAUCUGCCGUGGGCGCUGGAGAACUGAGGGGGGCUGCUCCUAGUACGAGAGGACCGGAGUGGACGCAUCACUGGUGUUCGGG
rnacentral:rRNA from 1 species